UGUAGUCAUAUGCUUGUCUCAAAGAUUAAGCCAUGCAUGUCUAAGUAUAAACAACUUUAUACUGUGAAACUGCGAAUGGCUCAUUAAAUCAGUUAUAGUUUAUUUGAUAGUACCUUACUACUUGGAUAACCGUAGUAAUUCUAGAGCUAAUACAUGCGCAAAGACCCGACUUUCUGGAAGGGUUGCAUUUAUUAGAUACAAAACCAAUGGCCAGCAAUGGUCUCACUUGGUGAUUCAUAAUAACUUUUGCGGAUCGCAUGGCUUUACGCUGGCGACGAAUCAUUCAAAUUUCUGCCCUAUCAACUUUCGAUGGUACGGUAUUGGCCUACCAUGGUUACAACGGGUAACGGGGA
rnacentral:rRNA from 1 species